GAUGAACGCUAGCGGGAGGCCUAACACAUGCAAGCCGAGCGGUAUUUCUUCUUCGGGAGAGAGAGAGCGGCGUACGGGUGCGGAACACGUGUGCAACCUGCCUUUAUCUAGAGGAUAGCCUUUCGAAAGGAAGAUUAAUACUCUAUAAUAUAUUAAUUGGCAUCAAUUGAUAUUGAAAACUCCGGUGGAUAGAGAUGGGCACGCGCAAGAUUAGCUAGUUGGUGAGGUAACGGCUCACCAAGGCAAUGAUCUUUAGGGGGCCUGAGAGGGGGAUCCCCCACACUGGUACUGAGACACGGACCAGACUCCUACGGGAGGCAGCAGUGAGGAAUAUUGGUCAAUGGGUGCAAGCCUGAACCAGCCAUCCCGCGUGAAGGAUUAAGGUCCUAUGGAUUGUAAACUUCUUUUGUAUAGGGAUAAACCUACCCUCGUGAGGGUAGCUGAAGGUACUAUACGAAUAAGCACCGGCUAACUCCGUGCCAGCCGCCGCGGUAAAAC
rnacentral:rRNA from 1 species